UACGUAGGGGGCUAGCGUUGUCCGGAAUCAUUGGGCGUAAAGCGCGUGUAGGCGGCCCGGUAAGUCCGCUGUGAAAGUCGGGGGCUCAACCCUCGGAUGCCGGUGGAUACUGUCGGGCUCGAGUACGGAAGAGGCGAGUGGAAUUCCUGGUGUAGCGGUGAAAUACGCAGAUAUCAGGAGGAACACCGAUUGCGAAGGCAGCUCGCUGGGACGUGACUGACGCUGAGACGCGAAAGCGUGGGGAGCGAACAGG
rnacentral:rRNA from 1 species